UACAGAGGGGGCAAGCGUUAUUCGGAAUUAUUGGGCGUAAAGGGCGCGUAGGCGGCCUGGCAAGUGGGAGGUGAAAUCCCUCGGCUUAACCGAGGAACUGCCCUCCAAACUGCUUGGCUUGAGUCCGGGAGAGGUGAGUGGAAUUCCCAGUGUAGCGGUGAAAUGCGUAGAUAUUGGGAGGAACACCAGUGGCGAAGGCGGCUCACUGGACCGGAACUGACGCUGAGGCGCGAAAGCGUGGGGAGCAAACGGG
rnacentral:rRNA from 1 species